rnacentral:lncRNA from 13 species
CUCACAAAUACUUGUAGAAAUUGUCAUUUGUAAAUAAGUAAAUUAAUUUCAAGGCAUGUAUCAUUGUAUUCUCUUUUCAUACGUAUUUCCUUAAUCAUAGGAUAUUAAAAGUACAACCAUGUUAGGGAAGGAGGUCCCUGAACAUUUUUUUUUUUAACUUUAAAAAAGGAUCCUCCUACUUCUCAAACUCAGGAAUUAGUAGCUAUAGAAUAAAGGACAAACUUGUCAUGGACUGCGACCCAUCACAGCCCAUAUUGGCCCCAUUGAACACAACUGUUCCCGUUUCAGUUGUUCUCUUUCCCAUGCCCGUCCUGUUGCAUUGGUCUGCUCCCAGGGAUCCCUUGGAAGCCGGAAGCCGGAAGCUGGAAGCCGGAAGCCGGAAGCCAGAAGCCGGUGGUUGUUCCAACUUCCUUUGCUGUGCCAUCAGCACUCGUGUGUUCCUGCGUACUGCAGCAUGUUUUCUAUCGUGCCGUCGUUAUUUGCCUGACUACCUCACCAGAUUGCGAGCAGAUUACACCGUGCCUUCCUCCUUGACUUCCUCCCUUUGCUCCUUCCCUAGAAGAGCCCUUUGUAGGCUCUCAGUUAAGGUUUAUUUAAUUGAACUAUAUUUUAAAGCACAAAUCCGGUGCCAGAAUUUUAAAGUGGUAGGAGAAGGCCAUAAAUGGAAUUCUCUAAAAAAACAAACAGGAAACAAACAACACACAGGCACACACUAACUACAGGUGGGUGGCUCACUGUUGAUUUUAUCAGCCAAAUAAAAGAUUUACAAAAACGUUGAAGAGAUGGAGCAGAGGAAUGAAAACUUGAUAUUUAAAGAAACAUAGAAUGAAAUCUAAGGCACAUUUUGGAAAGCUAGAACAGAAAAACAAUGCUAGAACAGAAAAACAAUCCUGGAACAGGCUUUCAUACACAAGCUGUACUCUAGAGAGGCAAACAAGGCGUAGGAGGAUUAGAGAUAAGGAAAAUGAGCACAGAGUCCAGGCCUGCCCAGUACACCGCAGGAGGAGUUACUGGCACCUCCAUGCAGGUGGGGAGGGUGCUGUGCCUUUGAGCCUUGGGCAAGUUGACAAACAGUCCAGGUGCAGGUGGCUUGGACCAACUACAUGGAAAUCAACGGAGAUGCCUGGAUUUUGUUCCCCUGCAUUCAAGGAGACACAACUAUGGAAAUUUUACUGGAUAAACUCCCAGGUUUUGCAGAAGAAUCAAAUCCUGAGUGAACAGAUAUUGUGGCCUGUGAAACCAAAGAGAGAUGCUGAACGUUUCAAGUCAUUUGGUGUCCGUGGACCAAACCCUGUGGAGGAACAGCCUUGUGGAGUGGAGGUGACCCCGGCUCACUCAGCCAGGCUGGCGUUGGCUUCCACUGCGCUUCAAACCCUGUGUUUACUCUGA